rnacentral:rRNA from 1 species
AGAGUUUGAUCCUGGCUCAGGAUGAACGCUAGCUACAGGCUUAACACAUGCAAGUCGAGGGGCAGCAUGGUCUUAGCUUGCUAAGACUGAUGGCGACCGGCGCACGGGUGAGUAACACGUAUCCAACCUGCCGUCUACUCUUGGACAGCCUUCUGAAAGGAAGAUUAAUACAAGAUGGCAUCAUGAGUCCGCAUGUUCACAUGAUUAAAGGUAUUCCGGUAGACGAUGGGGAUGCGUUCCAUUAGAUAGUAGGCGGGGUAACGGCCCACCUAGUCUUCGAUGGAUAGGGGUUCUGAGAGGAAGGUCCCCCACAUUGGAACUGAGACACGGUCCAAACUCCUACGGGAGGCAGCAGUGAGGAAUAUUGGUCAAUGGGCGAGAGCCUGAACCAGCCAAGUAGCGUGAAGGAUGACUGCCCUAUGGGUUGUAAACUUCUUUUAUAAAGGAAUAAAGUCGGGUAUGCAUACCCGUUUGCAUGUACUUUAUGAAUAAGGAUCGGCUAACUCCGUGCCAGCAGCCGCGGU